CCCCACCUUUACCAGAUUUGCUUUUCAUGUGUCCAACCGUCUUUUAUCUAGGAUGGCCUCUGGGUCUUUUACCGUUGAUUUCACCAAUCAAAACUUGUUUACAUUAUCCCUCUAUGGAUGCCCUGCUCAUUCCAUGUGUUUGCUUUUGAUAAAUGCUUAAUUUUUGGUAUUUCCUCGUUCGUUCUUUUUCGGUAUUCUGCAUUAUCAGAUUUGAAACAAAACAAAUAAUAACAAUUAUCGACAGCUAGAAAGUUGGAACAAAAACACAGAUAUCGCCGUAACUUUUGAACGGGAAAAGCAUCGGGUAGCGGAUCCGGUGGGAGGGGGGCAUAGGGGCACGCAUCCCCCGUAUAAAAUGUCGACGGACUACAGUUUUUCGAUUUUCUAUUUUCUAUUAAUUCAAUUAUAACGAUUUAUAGUUAAUUUACUGAAAAUAUAUAAAUAAUAUAUGCCUCCAUUUAAAAACAAUGCGCGUUGGAUCCAUCGCUGGUUAUCCGUCGUCGGGUAGGCACUACGAUAUUAUCAUAAACGCUUUCCCAGCCGUGUACUUGCGUCGGCGAAACUCUUCCGAUAACACGUCCGUAUCGGUUUUUGAUUCCCGGUUCCUCGUCGGACAUUUAUCCCGCGAGCAUAAUAUUAUACAACGCAAUUUAUUUGUAAGGCUAAACUUCAAGAAUCGAAUAACGGUUUAUGGAAUAAUCGUCGGAACAGCAAAUCCCCCCGGCCGUUUCGUUUACCGUAUCGUGUAAGUAUAACAUUACUGGAGCGUUUGCCGCCGGUUCAAACUGUUAUUUUAUUUUUUAAAGAAAUAUUGUAAUGCGCACGACCCGCUAUAAAUUUAAGUGUUUUUUUUUUUUUUUUCACUUUCG